CUCAUGCCUUCAGUUCACUGGUGUGCUCUACAUAGCGAUGAACCACAACCAAGUGAGUCUGGCCUGCCUCUGACAAGAAGGGCAUUGUCAGCCACAUUAAUAAAACGCAGCGAGUCAGGACCCUGUCUGAGCUAGAGACACAGAACCACCUGAACCCCUGACAAGUUCAAGGCAGGGAGAAAGAGUCUCCUGGCAACAUAAUG